rnacentral:rRNA from 1 species
CACGAACGCUGGCGGCGUGCCUAAUACAUGCAAGUCGAGCGGAAGUUGAAGAGCUUGCUCUUCAACUUUAGCGGCGGACGGGUGAGUAACACGUGGGCGACCUGCCCUGCAGAUCGGGAUAACUCCGGGAAACCGGUGCUAAUACCGAAUAGUUUUCGCCACCUCCUGGUGGCGUACGGAAAGACGGUUUCGGCUGUCACUGCAGGAUGGGCCCGCGGCGCAUUAGCUAGUUGGUGGGGUAACGGCCCACCAAGGCAACGAUGCGUAGCCGACCUGAGGGGGUGAUCGGCCACACUGGGACUGAGACACGGCCCAGACUCCUACGGGAGGCAGCAGUAGGGAAUCUUCCGCAAUGGACGAAAGUCUGACGGAGCAACGCCGCGUGAGUGACGAAGGUUUUCGGAUCGUAAAACUCUGUUGUGAGGGAAGAACAAGUACCACUUAACUACUGGUACCUUGACGGUACCUCACCAGAAAGCCACGGCUAACUAUGUGCCAGCCGCCGCCGUAACAC